UUAAAAACAUUCCCCAAGGCGUCAUUUAGGAACUAGGGUUUACUCUCAAUCUCUCACGUUUCUCUCAAAAUCCCCAAAUCCUUAUCACUUUGACAACUAGUUUUGGUGUUUCAUCAAAAUCUAUUCUUGAUUUCAUUAUUCAAAGUGACGAUUUCCAUCAUCAAUCUGCUCACGACUAUUCCUCAAUUUAUUCAAAUUUUUUCUGCGUUAUUUUGGGUAAUUUUUUCCACCACCAACUGAAGUUAGAUCAGUGCGAUUGAGUUGGCAUUUUGUGAUUAAAUAAGCUGUUUUUAUGGCGAGGCCGUCUCUUUGAGCCAUUUUGAGAAGAAGAGCUCAUGUGUUAUUCACUUCAGCCUCCGCAGUGAGAUGGAAAGGAAUUGUUUUACUGUGGUCCAAGAUUUGAUUAUCUUUACGACUUUCUUAAGAGAUGAAGUGUUCCAAUCAUCGAGUAUUCCUGACAGAGUGUGCACCCAAAGCCACUUUCUCUUUAUCUCUCACUUUUGUGUUUAGCAGCAAAAUCGAAGCCCCCUGUGUGAAAGUCGUAUGAGGAAAAAGGAGUAAGUUCGAUAGUUGGAAACAAUGCCAUUUUUGGGACAAUUUGAGCUGAAACUUGAGAGAGUUAAACAGCAGGUCUUGGUGAUAUCAGUUUACAAGUGAAGAUGUAGAUUUACUUCAACUUGACAAGCUAAUUAUCAUUUGCCCAGAACUAUAGACAACAAUUCAUUUUAUUUGCAAGUGAUAUUAAUUUAUUUUCUUCCCGAGGGGUGUGUAAAUAAUAUAGUACAAAUGGAAUGU